rnacentral:rRNA from 1 species
AGCGAACGCUGGCGGCAGGCCUAACACAUGCAAGUCGAACGGACCCUUCGGGGUUAGUGGCGGACGGGUGAGUAACACGUGGGAACGUGCCUUUAGGUUCGGAAUAGCUCCUGGACACGGGUGGUAACGCCGAACGUGCCCUUCGGGGGAACGAUGUAUCGCCUUUAGAGCGGGCCGUGUCUGUUUCGCUUGUUGGAGAGGUAAUGGCUCACCAAGGCGACGAUCAGUAGCUGGUCUGAGAGGAUGACCAGCCACACUGGGACUGAGACACGGCCCAGACGCCUACGGGAGGCAGCAGUGGGGAAUCUUGCGCAAUGGGCGAAAGCCUGACGCAGCCAUGCCGCGUGAAUGAUGAAGGUCUUAGGAUUGUAAAAUUCUUUCACCGGGGACGAGAAUGACGGUACCCGGAGAGGAAGCCCCGGCUAACUUCGUGCCAGCAGCCGCAAUAU